rnacentral:rRNA from 1 species
UACCACCGGUGUUCGGGUGUCGAGAGAGAGAGAGGAGUCUGGCGGGGAGGACAAAAAGGGGUGGCGGCUGCGCUCCAGGGCGUGAGAAGGGUGAGAAGAGUUGGGGAGGAGGAGUUUAGCCAGCGGCUUCACGGGCUCCUAGGCGAGCUCGAGCCGUACCAGCGACCCGCGCCCUGCUUCCGGCUGCGCUUCCGCGCCCUGAGCAGAGGUGGUCUAGCCGCCGGCACCGACAGUACGCAGCGUUGGAGGCGGGGACCAAGGAAGGAGAGAUAUAGCGAGCAGCCGCCGAGGGUGGUGGGACACACACGCUGACGCGACGCGGGACGUUACGGGUCCGUGCUGUCGUCAUGGGGCCACAGACCAGGGGACGUUCACGUUCGGCCGCGGCCAUCUGCUAGAUAAGGGGAGAAGCCGAAAGUAUAUACGAAUAAAGACUAAACUCCGAAUCUGCUUUACCUAUAAUUUCUGGUAGAUUCUCACUCCCUUAAACAAGGUAGGAUUUAAAAACCCUGACCUUAUUUGUGUUUCUACCCUUACCCUCCGUAUGGACGGACGGUAUAUGUAGUUGGACUUCGAAAGUUCGCAACAUGUCUUGUUCAUUAACUGUCCAAAUGAAGUACUAUCAGAACCUAAACCAAACCGGUUUUACUAGUCCGUCCACGCAACGGACUCCUCAAGCAGCCACGGCUACAGCAGUCAACACCUUCCGCCGCUACCGAUUGUCACCGACCCGCCGCUUCCAGGUUGUCACCGAACCGCCGCGGCUGCAGACUGACAUCACACGCAGACUUGCCGCUGUAGCUUCUUUCAGACUUACCGCUGCAGCUUCUUUCUGUAGCUCUAAUUGACCCUACCUUGACCGGUGUAUAACGCGUGUUCUCCUAUCAGACGUGAACGCAACCGCUCUUCGAGCAGCUGCGCCCGCAGCAGACGACGCGUGCCGCCGCUACCGCGUCCUGUCCCGCCCGACGACGCUGCAUGCAGGCCCCACCCGUUUCCGUCCAUCUAGUUCGGCUAAGGGUCUUCAAAUCGGUAAACAACACUCCGUCCGCACAAUUAAGGGCAAUUAACACCGAUUAAAAGACAUCAACUAACCGAGCAUACACAUAUAUACAAAAACUGCGCUUACGUUACCCACCUGCACAAAAAAAAAAACGCCCCCUCCACCUUGACUAGCUACCGUCUCAAAGCAGGCGAUGAUAUUUAACGAUUUGCGUGUAUCCACUCCCGACUGAAAAUACACCUGCCAAUCUACGGACUAGAACCCCACCAUUAAACAAAACAAACGGGACACAUGUAAAUAGACCCUUCUUAUACAAACGAACAAAUUAUCAUCAUCUCUUCAUCUCUAUCUGACGACUACUACAUCGAAAGAUUAAGAAAAAAAAUUGUGUCGAAAGAUUGUAAAACAAACAAAAAAACGCCUAUAAUACUGUAAAAGAAACUCGACGUAAAGAAAGCCCUCUGAAUACAUAAUACAUCCACAACUAAUACGAGACCGUGAAUGCCCUAAGCUAGAAUGGUGUGUUUUUUCACAACAUUUUACAAAGAUAUCUAGGACCUAAAGGACAUCGUUUCAUCUGGAGUACAUAUUCUAAAUAAUAGGUUACUUUGUUUUAGUACACGAGUACCCUUUAGAACAGACAUCUCAUGAUAACAAACCGUAAGGAGG